AAAAUCUACUUUACCCUAUUGAGCGGAGGAGGUGCCAAGCCUUUCAUUUCACAACAGGCCGUAAGGAACUGCUUUAUGACAAAAUGGAAGUCUAUAAUCAUUAAUGUGUAGAAAAUAAAAUGCACAUAUCACCCAACCUUACAAUGAACUGAAAUAUAACAUACUUUUAGGUACAACCUGGCCUCUAACAAUACAAAUUCAAAUUAUUGGCAUUUUUCACUCAAAUGUAGUAAUUUCUGCUCACGUAUACAGCCAUACUUUGUGUACCCUUCAAAAUGCAAAGAGCAG